rnacentral:misc_RNA from 1 species
UACGGAGGAUCCAAGCGUUAUCCGGAAUCAUUGGGCGUAAAGGGUCCGUAGGCGGGACAGUAAGUCAGUGGUGAAAGCCUGCAGCUCAACGGUAGAACUGCGAUUGAAACUGUUGUGCUUGAGUCAUUAUGAAGUGGUUAGAAUAUGUAGUGUAGCGGUGAAAUGCAUAGAUAUUACAUAGAAUACCGAUUGCGAAGGCAGAUCACUAAUAAUUUACUGACGCUGAUGGACGAAAGCGUAGGUAGCGAACAGG